ACUGAAUAACAGCACAAGUGCCGCUGAAUAAUUUUCAAUUUUCUUAGUAAAGUAAAAUUAAAAUGUUCCAACUGAGCAAAAUACUUUUUGUAACGCUUUUGCUUUUUAACCUUCUACUCGCCUCGGCCAGCGCGAGGUAUGCAGACGUAGAGCAGGGGUACUGGAGAGUGGGAUCUAUAUUCCAACCGGAACCAGACCCGACCAUAUUUCGUCCCACUAUUGCGAGGGCACAAGUCAGUGGCGCACCAGCCAUGGAGCUCGAUAACGGUAUGGACUAUAUGGAAUGAUUAUAUAAUAAGGCUGAUGGAUGCAGGUCAAUGACUUAUUUCCUACUUUGCUCGGCGAAAAGUAUUUAGCGCAAGCUGUUUGCCGUUAUAAUUUCACGAAUGCCCCUCUGUGAAGAGAUUACCUCGCAAUGGUACAAAUAUUAUUAAGACAAAGCGUAGUUAAUGUUCACCUAAAUGCCAGUGUUUCCAGAGUUUCAUAAGCACUAUUCUUGUUUGUAUGUAUGUAUGUAUGUAUGCGCUUAUUUAAUAUAGUUCGGCGAUUACUCAGCCGUUUUAGCGAGCGCUGCGUUGACACUAA